AAAAUUAAAUUAAAUUAAAUAAAAUUGAGAUGUAGGACUUUAUCAUAUCAAAAUAACUUUUGUUCAAUCCAAAUCAAAUUUGAGUAUAGAGGUUACAUCUUUAUAAGUUUACGUAGGACCAGAGAAUCAAAUAACAUAGAGGUAAAACACCUUACUCAAACAUAAAUUACUUCACAUUUUGCAUCCUUAAAAUCACUGAACAAUAUAUGGCUGACUGAUAUUCAAAAUCUAUCAUUCGUCCUCUACUCUAAAGAGUACAAUCUUGAAGAGCAAGAAAUAAAUGUAGGACAUGCAUAGAAGCUUGGGAAAUCAGUAUGUGUGAUAGUGCACCUACUCCUGUUUCUCCAUUAGACUGAACGGGUUCAACAGAUCAACAACCACAUCAUCAACAAUUGCCUGCUUCACCUCAAUUGCAUCCUCCUAACAACAUCACCUCCAUGUAUAUGCCAUUAAUCUUCAUAAUUAUAGCAACUGGAAGACUUUCAGUUUCCCUAGCACCAUCAUAGGUUUAAGUGCAACCUUUUCUCAUAAAAUCCUAUGUACAAUGACUUUUUCUCCACACUUUUCUCGCAUAACUACAAAAGUAUAGCCUAAUUUGCAAACAAAAAUUCUAUAACUUUUAUGUCAAUCUAUAUGCUAUAGUUAAGUCCCUAAUACAAGUGAUUUGCCAUUAUGAUUGCUCCUCAGAGACAAAGCAAGGAACAAGUUUGUAGAAUUCCAAAGUAUGGGUAUCUAGAUCUUCGUCUUCUAGGUAUAGAGCGCGCGACUUAAAGUAAUAUUCCUGUAAAUUUCCCCAUCACAAUGAACAAAAAUGAAAUUUUCCUCUACCAAUUGUCUCAGCAGAGCUCAACGAGUAAGCAACAACUUGUCAACAAAGUCAGUAACAUAAUGCAACACAUAACACCAAGUACAUCCACUCAAAUAAAAAACUGCCAAAUUCACUUCCUCUUCUUUCCUCUCAUUAUCAAAUAGAUGCAUUGCACCAACAUGCAUUUAGACAUUAAAGCUAUAAAAUGAGCCAAAAAGAAGAGAGGACAAGAUGUAGCACCAAAGCCACCUAUAAAAUAUCCAGGAAAAAAAAAAUCAUUUGGCUUCUUACUAAAAGAAGGAACAGAAAACAUAAUGUUGAUUCAAUUUCCAUAAAGUAAAAAUAAACAAUUGCAAGCCAGUGAAUAACAACAAGAACAAAUAAACAGUCAAAGUUCAUUCUUGUAAGUAACCAAUCUGCAAUACUCAUAACAGAUAACUUCUUGAUGACCAAGUAAGACCAAUUCAAUAUCUGAUUACAAUCAAAGACAGAAUUCAGCAGCAAGAAGCCACAUCCUAAAAGAGUAGAUUCCUUAGUUUGGAUGCACUGUGUUUCCAUUUAGCUGCAUUACCACCCUAUAGUUUAAGAGGGACCAGUACUCUUUAGGCAUGAUAAUGAUUAGAUAGCCAAGGAACAUGACAUUUAUUUUCAAGCAUCUUGUGAGUGGAACAGAAGAGGAAUUUUAGGCUAAGCACAAAAGUUACAUUUGUGGUCUUCAAACACAAUUUUUUGAGGAGAAAUAAAAUAUCCUUUAUUUAUUUUUCUAUAAAUUGAAGUUGUCAAUGCUUGAACCUAUUAAACCAUGCUAUGCAGUUUCAAUCUAAUGGCAUACCCGAAUUCUCAAAACAAAUGCUAACAGUGAGUUCCCAUAACCAUUUGAAUAUGCAAACCUAAUGAAAACAUAUUUGAUCUAAUUGAAGCAAGUACCAGAAAUAGUUUCAAGCAGAUUUAAACAAAUUUUGGUGGCAGAAAUUAAUCUGUGCUUGUUUUAAAAAUGGUAGUACUAGAAAUGAACCUUACGUCUUUUAAGGCUUUUUCUUGAUUCUUUUACCUAAAUAUAACACUAUAUUACUCAAAAAAAUCCGUGCACACGUCAAAUCAGCUCAAAUAAUGAUUUUGAAUUUUUUUAACUAAACAUCUUAAAAAAUAUAUCGUAAUUGAUGCCCUAAACUACACUAGAAAUU
rnacentral:misc_RNA from 1 species